UACGGAGGGGGCGAGCGUUAUUCGGAAUUAUUGGGCGUAAAGGGCGCGUAGGCGGCUCUAUAAGUCAAAGGGGAAAUCCCUCGGCUCAACUGAGGAACUGCCUUUGAAACUGUUGGGCUUGAGGCCGGGAGAGGGUAGUGGAAUUCCCAGUGUAGCGGUGAAAUGCGUAGAUACUGGGAGGAACACCAGUGGCGAAGGCGGCUACCUGGACCGGUUCUGACGCUGAGAAGCGAAAGCAUGGGGAGCGAACAGG
rnacentral:rRNA from 1 species